rnacentral:rRNA from 1 species
GGACGAAAGUCUGACGGAGCAACGCCGCGUGAGUGAAGAAGGUUUUCGGAUCGUAAAACUCUGUUUUCAGGGACGAAUGUGUGGAUUGUAAAUAAUGAUCCAUAAUGACGGUACCUGACAAGAAAGCCACGGCUAACUACGUGCCAGCAGCCGCGGUAAUACGUAGGUGGCAAGCGUUGUCCGGAAUUAUUGGGCGUAAAGCGCGCGCAGGUGGGAUAAUCAGUCUGAUGUUAAAGUUCGGGGCUUAACCCCGUGAAGCAUUGGAUACUGUUAUUCUUGAGUGCAGGAGAGGAAAGUGGAAUUCCUAGUGUAGCGGUGAAAUGCGUAGAUAUUAGGAGGAACACCAGUGGCGAAGGCGACUUUCUGGACUGUGUCUGACACUGAGGCGCGAAAGCCAGGGUAGUGAACGGGAUUAGAUACCCCGGUAAUCCUGGCCGUAAACGAUGGGUACUAGGUGUUGGGGGUAUCGACCCCUCCAGUGCCGGAGUUAACGCAAUAAGUACCCCGCCUGGGGAGUAC